rnacentral:tRNA from 1 species
UGUCCAGGAGCGGGAAUCGAACCCACAACCUUCCGCCUACCGGGCAGGCGCCAUGUCCACUAGGCCAACCUGGAC